UGAGCAAUAGCUCAGUCAGUAGAGCACCAGAUUCUCAAUCUCAGGGUCAUGGGUUUGAGCCCCACAUAGAGCAAAA